GAGCUCUGAGCCCAGGAGGAGAGACGGUGGCCCCCGCAUACAUCGCCAAGUACAAUCGAUUCAUCGACACAAUCUUGAUGAGAGUUAACAAAAUCUUGAAGAAAAGCUACGACCCAGUGAACGUCCGUCUUCAAAGCCCGGUCGACACAAAGAAAAAAGGCCCGAAACCUGCCGCUACGAAGAAGAACAAGCCAAAAACCAAGCUGAAGACCAAGAGGCGACCUGUCAACAAAGAAACUCGAACCGAUGAGCAGCAACUAAACCGCACCUCUCAACAAUCUCAAACUUCUAACGCAGUGUCAGACUCAGCCUCUUUAAAGGUAGAACCAAAGAAUGACCAAGGAAGCAGUCUGCCUACCGAUGGAGCAACCUCUCCGCAACAAAACGUAGCCGCCUCCAAUAGGAGACAACAAAGGAAACGAAAAGUAGUCAAAACAAAGACGAAGGUGCAGAUAGCGAGAAAUAACCCAAGAGCAAAGGCCACCCUGUAUGGUUUGUCAUCUAUGCGAAGGGACGGUGACGUCACAGCUAAUGUUAUGCGCUCGCAUACAACUGUGAGGGCGAAAUUCUUGGUCGGCCCACUCACCCUCAAAGUAGAGAAAGAGGUAAAUCCUGACAAUUUUCGACGAGUUCGUCAAUUAUUUUACAAAUGA
rnacentral:lncRNA from 1 species